rnacentral:rRNA from 1 species
AGUGAACGCUGGCGGUAGACCUAACACAUGCAAGUCGAACGGCAGCACAGUAAGAGCUUGCUCUUACGGGUGGCGAGUGGCGGACGGGUGAGGAAUGAAUCGGAAUCUACUUUUUCGUGGGGGAUAACGUAGGGAAACUUACGCUAAUACCGCAUACGACCUACGGGUGAAAGCAGGGGAUCUUCGGACCUUGCGCGAUUGAAUGAGCCGAUGUCGGAUUAGCUAGUUGGCGGGGUAAAGGCCCACCAAGGCGACGAUCCGUAGCUGGUCUGAGAGGAUGAUCAGCCACACUGGAACUGAGACACGGUCCAGACUCCUACGGGAGGCAGCAGUGGGGAAUAUUGGACAAUGGGCGCAAGCCUGAUCCAGCCAUACCGCGUGGGUGAAGAAGGCCUUCGGGUUGUAAAGCCCUUUUGUUGGGAAAGAAAAGCAGCAGGUUAAUACCCCGCUGUUCUGACGGUACCCAAAGAAUAAGCACCGGCUAACUUCGUG